UUCAUUUGUGACAAUGGAUAUCUAAUUGUUCUAGCACCAUUCUUUGAAGAGGCUAUCUUUCCUUCAUUGAAUUGCUUUUGCACCUUGUCAAAAACAAGAAUAAGGUUAUAUAUGUCUACAAAACACUUGGCUGGAAUUUUGUUGGGAAUUUAAUUAAAUCUGUGGACCAAUUUGGGAAGAAUUGAUUCAUUUUCUUUUAAAAGCUGGAGUGCAAUGUCAUGAUCUCGGCUCACUGCAACCUCCACCUCCCAAGUUCAAGCGAUUCUCCUGCCUCAAUCUCCCAAGUUGCUGGGAUUACAGGCACCAACCACCAUGCCUGGC